GUCCCUGUAGCGCAAUGGGUAGCGCGUUAGACUCCAAAUUCAAAGGGCAUGGGUUCGAAUUCCACCUGGGAUG